rnacentral:misc_RNA from 1 species
GAUUUGAGGUAUGCUGGACUUUUUAUUAGUUCGGCUCCCUUUUAAAUGCAUCAGCGGAGCUACUCGCUUCCGGCUAACAUCGACGUGAUAAUUAUCUUACAUCGUUGUCUACCGGUCCCAGAGUCCGCUUAUAAUCGUCUUCGGACAACACAUAAUGACAAUUUGACCUCAAAUCAGGUAGGACUACCCGCUGAACUUAA